ensembl:miRNA
AAACUGCCUUUGCUGUUUUAGGGUAGGAGGAGAGAGGUGUUACUUUAGAAGCUGCCACCUCGCCCAUCCUCUCCUCUGCAGGAGCAGCCA